AUUCACAAAGGUGGACUAAAGUUAUACCCGGGGUAUAAAACGCGUCAUUUGACGUCAUUUUAAUCCAUGGACUAAAGUUAGCACCUAGGGGCUAACUUUUGCGAUUCACAAAGGUCGACUAAAGUUAUACCGGGGUAUAAAACGCGUCAUUUGACGUCACGACUUAGUCAGCUCUUUGGGGUGGACUAAAUCGGUGGGUUAAAGUUAGUCCACUGUUUUAACCAAUCAGAGAGCAGCAUUUCGAUUGCGGAAAAGUUUGCUGCAAGAAAAAAGUUUUUUGGACAGAGACGAGAUUCGGUGUGAUCGGCUUAUCUAAAGCUUCAUAUUUCACGACUUCGACCGAGAUUCAACAGACCAUACAUACUUGGCAGAUUGUGCUCAAUCCAGACAAAGCAAACAUGGCUCACAAUUUUGAACUGCCGUGCCGUCUUGCAAGAGAGUGAGAUUCAGCAACACAUAGAAAGACCACAGCAUGGAUUAAGAGACAGGAAGAAUCCAUUUGAAUACUACGAGGAUGAACCUCUCAGAGUGGGGUACCAACAGAGAGAACCACACAUUGCCUGUCAUGUUACAGGUUUUUACAGGACUUUCUUUUAUGUCAUUGGUACCUUUUAGAAGAUGCAAGCAGACGAAGCAACUAUAUCACAGUCAUCCGUGUGCAGAAUCAUCAAAGAUUUUUCUGAGGCAAUAGCAAGGAGUAACAGUGAAUAAAGUUUCCAAUGACGAGAAAUUCAAACCACCCAGCGACAAUUUGAUGAUUGCUACAGGUUUCCAAGAGUCAUAGGUGCUAUCGAUUGGGGCCACUCCAGGCCAUGUCUACAUCAGGAGUCCUGAUGGGGAACAAGCCCUGUACUUAGCAGGAAGAACAGGUCUUCUGUAAAUGUAUAGGUAUCCGUUGCUCCUCUCUUUGAUGAAUUCCUGCCUGCAUUCUGUUGUCAAUAGAAAAGGACGGUGUGCUACGGGUAUUAAGCAUUCCAUUGGAUUAUCUGUGCAUGAAAGUGGACACUUGUGAUAAAAAUAUGGUAGCUUGGUUGAUAGGAUGUAUUCAUGCAU